UGGUAUUCCUCGUGACUGAGA
ensembl:piRNA 21ur-483 ncRNA